rnacentral:rRNA from 1 species
AUUGGAGAAAAGCAGGGGAUCGCAAGACCUUGCGCUGAUUGAGCGGCCGAUAUCAGAUUAGCUAGUUGGUGAGGUAAAAGCUCACCAAGGCGACGAUCUGUAGCGGGUCUGAGAGGAUGAUCCGCCACACUGGAACUGAGACACGGUCCAGACUCCUACGGGAGGCAGCAGUGGGGAAUUUUGGACAAUGGGGGCAACCCUGAUCCAGCCAUGCCGCGUGAGUGAAGAAGGCCUUCGGGUUGUAAAGCUCUUUCAGCCGGGAAGAAAAUGCAUGGGUUAAUACCCUGUGCAGAUGACGGUACCGGAAUAAGAAGCACCGGCUAACUACGUGCCAGCAGCCGCGGUAAUACGUAGGGUGCGAGCGUUAAUCGGAAUUACUGGGCGUAAAGCGUGCGCAGGCGGUUUUGUAAGACAGGCGUGAAAUCCCCGGGCUUAACCUGGGAACUGCGUUUGAAACUACAAGGCUAGA